UACAGCGGUCCCAAGCGUUGUUCGGAAUUACUGGGCGUAAAGGGUGCGUAGGCGGCUUUCUAAGUUGGAUGUGAAAACUCUGGGCUCAACCCAGAGCCUGCAUCCAAAACUGGAGAGCUAGGGUUCUGGAGGGGAAAGCGGAAUUCCUGGUGUAGCGGUGAAAUGCGUAGAUAUCAGGAGGAACACCGGUGGCGAAGGCGGCUUUCUGGACAGAUACCGACGCUGAGGCACGAAAGCUAGGGGAGCAAACAGG
rnacentral:rRNA from 1 species